GCGGGUAUGGUGAAAUGGUAUCACACGAGCUUCCCAAGCUCUUGGCGCGGGUUCGAUUCCCGCUACCCGCUCCA
rnacentral:tRNA from 28 species